UACGUAGGGUGCAAGCGUUGUCCGGAAUUAUUGGGCGUAAAGAGCUCGUAGGCGGUUCGUCGCGUCGGCUGUGAAAUCCCGAGGCUCAACCUCGGGUCUGCAGUCGAUACGGGCGGACUGGAGUUCGGCAGGGGAGACUGGAAUUCCUGGUGUAGCGGUGAAAUGCGCAGAUAUCAGGAGGAACACCAAUGGCGAAGGCAGCUCGCUGGGACGGUACUGACGCUGAGGCGCGAAAGCGUGGGGAGCAAACAGG
rnacentral:rRNA from 1 species